UACGGGGGGGGGCAAGCGUUGUUCGGAAUUACUGGGCGUAAAGGGUUCGUAGGUGGCCAACUAAGUCAGACGUGAAAUCCCUCAGCUUAACUGGGGAACUGCGUCUGAUACUGGUUGGCUUGAGUGCAGGAGAGGAAUGCGGAAUUCCAGGUGUAGCGGUGAAAUGCGUAGAUAUCUGGAGGAACACCGGUGGCGAAGGCGGCAUUCUGGACUGCAACUGACACUGAUGAACGAAAGCCAGGGGAGCAAACGGG
rnacentral:rRNA from 1 species